GAUGAACGCUGGCGGCGUGCCUAAUACAUGCAAGUCGAGCGAACAGACGAGGAGCUUGCUCCUCUGACGUUAGCGGCGGACGGGUGAGUAACACGUUGAUAACCUACCUAUAAGACUUGGAUAACUUCGGGAAACCGGAGCUAAUACCGGAUAAUAUAUUGAACCGCAUGGUUCAAUAGUGAAAGAGGGUUUUGCUGUCACUUAUAGAUGGAUCCGCGCCGCAUUAGCUAGUUGGUAAGGUAACGGCUUACCAAGGCGACGAUGCGUAGCCGACCUGAGAGGGUGAUCGGCCACACUGGAACUGAGACACGGUCCAGACUCCGACGGGAGGCAGCAGUAGGGAAUCUUCCGCAAUGGGCGAAAGCCUGACGGAGCAACGCCGCGUGAGUGAUGAAGGUCUUCGGAUCGUAAAACUCUGUUAUUAGGGAAGAACAAAUGUGUAAGUAACUAUGCUCGUCUUGACGGUACCUAGUCAGAAAGCCACGGCUAACUACGUG
rnacentral:rRNA from 1 species